UCCCUCUCAGGGUCGCACCUGGAGAGUUUCCAGGACUCUACCAGUCUCGGUUACAGAAGGGAGGGUGACGCAGAGGCAGAUCCAUUCCGUUCCUAGCUUGGGCAGUGGCUAGCAAGGGGAAGGCAAUCUGCUACAGGU